rnacentral:lncRNA from 1 species
GGUGAAAAGUUCCGGGGUAGGUAUGGUCAAUAUUGGCGUCUGGCUAUCCAAAUUGGCGGUAGGGGUCGAUUAAAUAUUUUUUAGGCUUAUGUUCACAUAUUUUAGUAUAAGUAAAGAUUCAGGAAUGUAGUAAACACCCUUAGCAUUAUUUUGAGCUAUAAUAAAAACCCAAUGGCAUGCCUGGGCGGUGCUUGUGGAAGAUUUUCACUCUAAUGGAUAUUUGCCUUUAUGUUGGUUUCCUAGGCUUUUAUGAUGGUUUAUCGAGUC